UACGUAGGGGGCGAGCGUUGUCCGGAUUUACUGGGCGUAAAGGGUGAGUAGGCGGUUAUUUAAGUCAGAUGUAAAAGGCUAUGGCUCAACUAUAGUAAGCAUUUGAAACUGGAUGACUUGAGUGCAGGAGAGGUAAGUGGAAUUCCUAGUGUAGCGGUGAAAUGCGUAGAUAUUAGGAGGAACACCAGUGGCGAAGGCGACUUACUGGACUGUAACUGACGCUGAGUCACGAAAGCGUGGGUAGCAAACA
rnacentral:rRNA from 1 species